UUCCCCUUCGGGGGGACGAGGGUGACAGGUGGUGCAUGGUUGUCGUCAGCUCGUGUCGUGAGAUGUUGGGUUAAGUCCCGCAACGAGCGCAACCCUCGACCUUAGUUGCCAGCAUUCAGUUGGGCACUCUAAGGUGACUGCCGGCUAAAAGUCGGAGGAAGGUGGGGAUGACGUCAAAUCAUCAUGCCCCUUAUGACCUGGGCUACACACGUGCUACAAUGGGCGGUACAAAGGGUCGCGAACCCGCGAGGGGGAGCCAAUCCCAAAAAGCCGCUCUCAGUUCGGAUUGCAGGCUGCAACUCGCCUGCAUGAAGCCGGAAUCGCUAGUAAUCGCGGAUCAGCAUGCCGCGGUGAAUACGUUCCCGGGCCUU
rnacentral:rRNA from 1 species